UUUAAACUUAAAAUUAAAAUAAAGUUAGUAUUAGUUAUGUUCUUGAAAUUUAAAGAUUUUGGCGGUAUUUUAGUCUUUUCAGAGGAACCUGUUCUAUAAUCGAUAAUCCACGAUAAAUAUUACUUAUUUUAUUAGUUUGUAUAUCGUCGUAGUUGAAUAUUUCAUUAGAAUUUAAAUAUUCAAAAUUUAAUAUAAUAAUUUAAAUCAGAUCAAGGUGCAAUUUAUAAAUAAGGAGAAAUGGGUUACAAUAAAUUUAUUUAUAUGGAUAAGUUAAUGAAAAAAAUUUUGAAGGUGGAUUUGAAAGUAAUAAAAUUUAUUUAAAUUUUAUGAUUUUGGCUCUAAAAUAUGU
rnacentral:rRNA from 1 species